rnacentral:lncRNA from 1 species
AUACAGAAAGUCUCAUUUUUUCCUAUCACCUCCUCUGCUUUUUACUCCUCAGAAUGGAUGCCUAUUAGCAGAUUUCACCAUCUCCCAUGGUCAUGUGCUCUGCAGACCAAGAAUGGACCGGUGGAGCUGGUUGAAAAGCUCUUUCACGGACGCGCUCUCUGGUUGCCUCCGUGCCUCUGGUGUAUAGAGGCCCACAAAGAGAACCCGGAAGUUCAUGGUGGCCUCACUGUAGCAGCCUUAAGCCCACUAAUCAAUGCACUCAAGCGGAUGCAUGCGUUUUCCAUGAUUUCCUUUGUGUAUUGAGAGCCUAGAGAAGAACGUGAGUAAAAGUUCAAGUUCUUGUAUUUAAUGGGUUUCUUUA